rnacentral:lncRNA from 1 species
UUCGUUUUUAUUUGACAUAUUUUUUAACAAAUUAAUUAUAACCAUUCGUAGGGAAUAUUAUUUUAUAUUUAAUAGAUUGAUCAUAACCAUUAAUUUUAUUUGAGAUAUUUUUAACAAAUUUUUAUUUGAGAUAUUUUUAACAAAUUAAUGAUAACCAUUCGUAGGAAAUAUUAUUUUAUAUUUAAUAGAUUGAUUAUAACUGUUAAUUUUUAUUUGAGAUAUUUUUAACAAAUUAAUUAUAACCAUUCGUAGGGAAUAUUAUUUUAUUCCUUUUUGGAUUCCGUCUGUCAUUGUCGGAAUUCUUAUACGCUUUUAUAUAUAGUAUAGAUAUAGAUAUAUAUAUAUAUAUAUUU